UGUACACGUCCAGAACAUGUUGGUAUAGUUGGUGCGUCCUCCAUAGCAAGAGCCACUGUGCAAAUAAACAUGGCACGAACAACCACGCUCACUCUGACG
rnacentral:lncRNA from 1 species